UAAGAGAAGAGGAGAGAUGUUCGCAAUUACUACCACAAGAAAGCCGCCCCCUAUCUUCUAAAGGGGCCCGUCACUUCGUUCGUACCUUCUUGGCUUAGGCUUCCAACUGAACAACAUGGCCUUGCCGCCCCGCCACUAGCAGAAGCUAAGCGCUUGAAAAGCGCGCUAAGAAAGGUUGCUUCUGUCGCCCUUUCUGUGCAACAGUCCACCAGUAGCGGAAGAGAGGGUUACCGUACAUACAAGAGUCUUCCAGUUCUUACGGAAGCUCUUUCUUACCAGUCAAUCAAGUAGUACAAGAACUGUAUCUUAUCUUAUAGCCCCGCGCGGCGGGUCGCCUAUUAAAUUAAGUAGAUAGAAGAAAGUAUUAAAUAGAUAAGGAGUAGGUGAGUGAGUGAGUCCUCACUGACCUGAGCGAUUUCGAUCACCUAGCAGGCCUUUUAUUUGGUAGGUAACAUCGCCAAAGCGUAUCAUCAGAUUUGACUACGAAGGAAGGAACUCGAAGUGAAAGGGCACCGUCUUGUGCAAGGCAACGAUAGUUGGCCCUCUAUCAUCUUCUAUCUGGUAGACUUGGUAAAAGGGCCCCGACUUAUUUGCAGAAUAAGAGUUCGACCGCGGCUUCUCCCUUUUUUUGGGGGGGAUCAAGUUCCUUGCCAACUGCCACUUAUCGACCCCGACCUCUUUUCAUUUGUUUUGGAUAUUACCAAACUUAGCCUAGCCUUCGUAAAUCGCACUAAAGCGGACACCCAACUAUGGAAAAGCCUCCUUAAGGGUGGAUUAGGUUAGUCAAUCCGGCCCGAGACGCGUUCGUUGACAAAACCGCCAUAGGAAUUCCUACUUUUCAAUAGAGCGGAGGCGAACUGAUCAACGAGAAAGAGGCCCUACUCACUACAAACGAAUACACCACAAGAUCGAACUGCACUCAUGCCUCUCCCGCAUCAAGUUGACCGCCCCCCCUACGUAGUGAUUCUAUCAAUCAUGUACGUAGGUAGGACCCUCCAUUCUCGAAUUGCACUCAUGCCUCUCCCGCAUCAAGUUGACCGCCCCCCUAUGUAGUGAUUCUAUCAAUCAUGUACGUAGGAAGGACCCUCCAUUCUGAUUGGUAUAUCAUGAAAAAAGAAAUCCAUUUGCACCAGGCGCACUGCGCUUUCCCUUGCCCAGAUGUUCGCCUUUCUAAGUCAAGUAAUGGUGACCCACCGAAGACUGGAGCUUCGUAACAUGUUGACGAAGGCCCCCGAACUGAGGGUUCGGUCAGUAGAAGGGACGACUUUGUCUCCACGGAAGAAGAAUAGCCCCGCUCUCUAGCCGACUGAUCCCGUUGAUCAUAUAACUGGGAGGGAACGUGUCACAUUAGAGGUGAACGAUCAGAGGUGUCCUCUAAUCACCACGACGAGGCUGGUCCCUCUUUUAGUAGACUCAGCUAUGAAUAUUCAUGAAGUAGAGGUGAACGAUCAGAGGUGUCCUCUAAUCACCACGACGAAGCUGGUCCCUCUUUUAGUAGAGUCAGCUAUGAAUAUUCAUGAAGAAAUGAAAUGUCGGGCUCUUUCUUUCACUGCUAACCCCAAGAAGUUUCAGCAUGCUGAAACUUUCCGUUUCGUCGAGCCCCGAGCUUGUGGUCCUCCUUUGAGUGUGGGUUCAAUUGAAUGAAUCUGUCAAGUCAAGGAAAACGUACGUAGCAGCAAGGAUGGUGCAUCGCCUAUUUAUCGUUCUCGCUCGGGAGCCAAAACGAACACGCCUGCUACCUACUGUACUGGACCUUCGACCAGGCAUUCUACCUUUGUCGAAUCGGAACCAACACCACUGCAUUGCGCUCGAACAGUUGAGCGGCCGCCGGCCAGCAACUUCCGUGCACAGAUAUAGAUUCAUUCUUCGUACCUGGUCCAGCCUCACAACCCUUCGCGGGUUGGUAAGAAGUCAGUCUUGUUUGGUAAGACGGAAUUGGACAAAGAAAAGAGAGUGCUCGACCGGAACAACGGCCAACAACGUAAUUACAUAGAUAACUGCUCCUCCCCUGAUCCUUAAGGCUUUAAGGCGAACCGUAUGGCGGCUGGAAAGAAAGACGACCUCACCUUCUCUGGUGUCAGUGAGAGCUAUUUGAGUAUCCCCCGUUGACCUUCUUUUGUAGAUAGAAUCUUCAUACAACCCUUCGCUGGUUGGUAAGAAGCCAGUCUUGUUUGGUAAGACGGAAUUGGACAAAGAAAAGAGAGUGAUCGACCGGAACAACGGCCAACAACGUAAUUACAUAGAUAACUGCUCCUCCCUUGAUUAUUAAGGCUUUAAGGCGAACCUAUGGCGGCUGGAAAGAAAGACGACCUCACCAUCUCUGGUGUCAGUGAGAGCUAUUUGAGUAUCCCCCGUUGACCUUCUUUUGUAGAUAGAAUCUUCAAUGAGUGGAAACAAGCAACCUUACUAAGAAAGGUGCUUGUUGAGUAAGGCCGGCUUUCGAGCCCAAGCCCCUUUACUAGGUUGGGCGCUUGAGCGCAUCUUUCUCAUAUCGAUCAAGGCUUUCCUUGAGUUUGAAAUAAGGGGCAAGAAGCAAGGGCGUAGCAGCUGCGCGAAGUUGCGCCUUAGCGCAUCC
rnacentral:lncRNA from 1 species